rnacentral:rRNA from 1 species
UACGAAGGGGGCGAGCGUUGUUCGGAUUUACUGGGCGUAAAGGGCGCGCAGGCGGCGGACCAAGUCAGGCGUGAAAGCCCCGGGCUUAACCUGGGAACUGCGUCUGAUACUGGAUGGCUCGAGUUCGGGAGAGGGAAGUGGAAUUCCAGGUGUAGCGGUGAAAUGCGUAGAUAUCUGGAGGAACACCGGUGGCGAAGGCGGCUUCCUGGACCGACACUGACGCUGAGGCGCGAAAGCCAGGGGAGCAAACGGG